UCCUCAAUGCAGCCAUAGCCAGUGACAAGCCUGGGUAAUGCAGAGUCAAGG
rnacentral:ribozyme from 2 species